GAUGAACGCUGGCGGCGUGCUUAACACAUGCAAGUCGAACGGGAAACCUUUUAUUGAAGCUUCGGCAGAUUUAGCUGGUUUCUAGUGGCGGACGGGUGAGUAACGCGUGGGUAACCUGCCUUAUACAGGGGGAUAACAACCAGAAAUGGUUGCUAAUACCGCAUAAGCGCACAGGACCGCAUGGUCCGGUGUGAAAAACUCCGGUGGUAUAAGAUGGACCCGCGUUGGAUUAGCUAGUUGGCAGGGUAACGGCCUACCAAGGCGACGAUCCAUAGCCGGCCUGAGAGGGUGAGCGGCCACAUUGGGACUGAGACACGGCCCAGACUCCUACGGGAGGCAGCAGUGGGGAAUAUUGCACAAUGGGGGAAACCCUGAUGCAGCGACGCCGCGUGAAGGAAGAAGUAUCUCGGUAUGUAAACUUCUAUCAGCAGGGAAGAUAGUGACGGUACCUGACUAAGAAGCCCCGGCUAACUACGUG
rnacentral:rRNA from 1 species